rnacentral:lncRNA from 1 species
AAAACCAAAAAGAAUAACCAUCAGCAUCACAGCCACACACCCAGCAGAGAACACCAAUUAUCAAAGGUUCAUAAAUUUAUCAUAACCACCGGUUAAACUCGACGACGACACGACGAUAAUCCGACACAUUAAUCCACGACAUCCGGGCUAACAACAACCCACGACGACACAUUAAACAGUUCAACGCCUAAACAAACAGUCUCGACCACGAAAUUACGCUAAGGCAACGGUAACAUCUAGUUCAGGUUUUUUUUUCCCUCUCUUCUGCUUCAGGAUUCUACGUCAAGCUGGUCACUGACGACGAUGGCAUGCAGACAGACACUGAGCUCACUUCCAGGGCAUGCUGGACAGGCCGCUGUUGCUGGGAGUGGCCGCGGCCGGCACGCCCUGGUUCAUCGGGCUCCCGGAGGACUCGCUGAGCGUGCCCCUGGACGGCGGGCUGUUCUGGGCCAUCCCGACGCUGAUGGGAGCGGUCGCGAGCGGCGGCACGGCGAUCGGCGCCGGCACGAAGUUCGGCGUCAUCCUCGGUGGCGCGGAUGCGGGCUCAUGUGCAGCAGCAGCUUGGUGCUUCGGCGCCUUCUUCUCGGCGACCGUGUUGAAGGUUCCCACCACAACCUGUGGGUACAAGGAUAGCACUGGUUAGUCACUGACUCAUUUCUUUAGUGUAAUAUGACUAGCUAAUACAGUACUGAUCUAAUAUGUGGAUGC